rnacentral:rRNA from 1 species
CGAAAGCCUGAUGCAGCCAUGCCGCGUGAAUGAUGAAGGCCUUAGGGUUGUAAAAUUCUUUCGUCAGGGAUGAUAAUGACCGUACCUGAAGAAGAAGCCCCGGCUAACUUCGUGCCAGCAGCCGCGGUAAUACGAAGGGGGCUAGCGUUGUUCGGAAUUACUGGGCGUAAAGCGCACGUAGGCGGACUUUUAAGUCAGGUGUGAAAUCCCGGGGCUCAACCUCGGAACUGCAUUUGAAACUGGGAGUCUUGAGAUCAGGAGAGGUUAGCGGAAUUCCGAGUGUAGAGGUGAAAUUCGUAGAUAUUCGGAGGAACACCAGUGGCGAAGGCGGCUAACUGGACUGAUACUGACGCUGAGGUGCGAAAGUGUGGGGAGCA